UGUUUGUAUAGUGUGUGUAUAUAAUGCAGUGUGUUUGUAUAGUGUGUGUAUACAAUGCACACAAAUACACACACUACAUUAUAUACACACACUAUACAAAC